CCUACGGGUGGCAGCAGUGGGGAAUAUUGCACAAUGGGGGAAACCCUGAUGCAGCGACGCCGCGUGAGUGAAGAAGUAAUUCGUUAUGUAAAGCUCUAUCAGCAGGGAAGAAAAUGACGGUUGCUGAGUAAGAAGCCCCGGCUAAUUACGUGCCAGCAGCCGCGGUAAUACGCAGGGGGCAAGCGUUAUCCGGAAUUACUGGGUGUAAAGAGAGCGUAGACGGCAGUGCAAGUCUGGCGUGAAAGGCGGGGGCGCAACCCCCGGACUGCUCUGGAAACUGUACGGCUGGAGUGCAGGAGAGGUAAGUGGAAUUCCUGGUGUAGCAGUGAAAUGCGUAGAUAUUAGGAGGAACACCAGUGGCGAAGGCGGCUUACUGGACUGUAACUGACGUUGAGGAGCGAAAGCGUGGGGAGCAAACAGGAUUAGAUACCCCUGUAGUC
rnacentral:rRNA from 1 species